UCUCCUCUUCCAGAUCCACCGAGCUCCUCUCCAUCCCCUCCCCUCGCUCUUCCAGAUCGCCGUGCUCUGCUCCUUCCUCCCUCCCCUUCGGCAAGAUCCCCAUGCUCUGCUCCUCCCUUCCUCUCUUCCCCUCCGAUGGCCUCCCUCUCCUCUAUCCAUUCUCCUCUUCUCGACCCAGACCUCCCUCUGUGCCAUCCCAACCCCAACCCCGCCGCCGGCCUCCCUGCCCUCAAGUCCCCACCCCCCGCUCCACCUCGACUGGCCGGUGCAGAGACAAGAGAAGCCCGAAGUCCUCGACUCCGCUGUCGCGGCGCCGAACCAUCGUCUUAUGGAUCUAGCUGUCGUCACAGCCAUGCCAACGACCUCGAUCUAGUGGACACGGCCUCGAUCCGGAGGGAGGGAUUUGCCAGCCAUGGUGAUGGGGACCACAGCCGGCACCGGCGCCGAGACCGAGUCCUCCGACGACGGCGGGGCCACGGAGUCCGAAUCCUCCGGGUGCUCCUCCUGCUCCAUGCGCACCCGCGCCCGUCACGACCUCAGGUGUGUGUGUGAGUGGUUCUGAUGCAGUAGUGUCUCUCUCCGGAUUCGCUUCAAUCCGGCGUUGGCUAAUCUGAUCCCUGGUUCGUCGGGUGGGUGCAACGAGGGGAUGGGCAAGCGCGGUGCGCAGUGGAUGAAGGUCACCUCGUGGGAGCCCAGGGCGUUCGUCUACCACAUCUUCCUGGUCCAUGACAUCUCGCUGAACCACUACUAGAUGUGGCGUCGACGAAGCACUACACCUAGCUUGCUCGCCGGUGCGCGCGUGUGUGCUUUGAUGCGCGGCGCUUCGUCGAGCUGGACGGACCGUGGCAAUCGCCGGAGCCGGAGGAGGCGACGAGAUGCUACUGCUACGGCUACGUCCUCGGAGGCAGCAGCUGCCCCUCGCCGACCUCACCAACCUCCGGCAUCCGCCAUGAGCUCCGCGCAGGACCCCUUCUACAUCGUCCAGGAGGAGAUCCAGGGCUGGUUUGUUGGUGGACAUGGUGGUGAUCCUCCUGUUAGGAGGUAGAGGAUGUGAGCUGAGCUGCUGUCUGGUUGAGGAAGAAAGUCACUGUCUUUACUGGCGAAACAAAUUGCUGCGGCAGCCAUGCUUGUGAGCUUAUGAUGUUCUUAGCUUGUCAGUUUCUGUGAAUCGUUCUCUGUGAUGUAUGAUGUAUUGCUGAUGUUAGCUGUAAAUGUGAUGUAUGAUGAGUUGACUUGAUGGUUCGUUUGAGGUUGUCAUUGGAAUGGAUUAUCUCUUGUGAAGCUUA